CAUCACCAUAAGAGAGGCUUGCUGCACUAAACUGAGAAAACUGGCAGUGAGGCUUGAAGUGGACCUCUCUUACUGGGAAAUCAGCAGAGACAGCAAUGCCUCCAUAAUACAGGUGGGUAAUACUCCAACCAGUGGCGGAUCCAGGGGGGGGGCAACGGGGCAAUUGCCCCCCCCGAGAAAUCCGCCGGUCUCCCUCCCCUGCCUGCACAUGCAAGUGCUAGCCCUGCAAUGUGCCUGCGGACCGGAGGGAGAUCAGAGCUCUCCCUCCCCGGUCCGCAGGCACUGUGCUGACAGCCGGCAGGGGAGGGAGAUGGAGGACCCGGAGCUCAGUCUGCAGCUCCUCCGGGUCCUCCUCUCGCGAGAUUUGGAGCGUUGCCACGGUUACCACGGCAACGCUCCAAAUCUCGCGAGAGUGAACUCUAGCCCGGGAGUGCGGGUUAGAGUUCACUCUCAGCACUGGGACCACCAAUGAAUCACCACUGGGACCACCAGGGAACGAAAUCUGUCCCCCCUCCUCCCCAGUAAAGGUAAGAAGGGAGGGGGGACAUAGAAUAUUUAUUUAUUUUAAUUAAAUUAAAAAAUAUUAUAUAAUAAAAAAAAAACCACCAUACCCUGAUCACACACACAUACAUUGCCCCCUAUACUGCCCCCCAUACACACAAACUGCCCCCCCAUUCACACACACUGCCCCCCCAUUCACACAAACUGCCCCUCAUACACACAAACUGCCCCCCAUACACACAAACUGCCCCCCAUACACACACAUACUGCCCCCAUACACACAUACUGCCCCCCAUACACACACACUGCCCCCACACACACACUGCCCCCCAUGCCUCAAACACUGCCACACACUUUUAUCCACCUGCCCCCCCCAUACACACCGCCAUACACACAAAACUGCCCAUCCCUUACACACAAACUGCCCCCCCCCCAACCCACACACACACACUGCCACGCCCUUUACACAAACUGCCCAUGCAUACGCAAACUGCCCCCCAUGCACACACUGCUCCCCAUGCCACACAGCCUGCCCCCCACAUACACACACACUGCAAUGCUGCACUGCAGCUGUUACACAUACCUGCAUCCCAGUGACAUACACUGCAGCCUCACUCACACACUACAACCUUCACACACACACACACCACCUGCACCCCUUACACUGCGUUUUCCCUCCACACACACCACUGUCCCUAUACCUUACUACGAGCCCGUUUUGCCACAGCCAGAUUCCGGGUAGGAUUUGUGACUGUUCUUAAACGGUUUGACUACUUACUGUGGGAGGGGGUCCCGGCACUAUUGACACCAUAACCACUACACUGAGCUGUAGUGGUUAUUGUGUCUGGAUUAUUUCUUUAAAUAAUCUACAAGUGCCCCUCCCGAGAUCAGGCUCUGGAUCCGCCACUGACUCCAACAAGUGCCAAGUUUACUUGUCUUUUAUAAGAAACGUAAUAAUCAAAAGGGGUGAAUAGUGUGUACUUUUCCACCAAAUCUUAUCAGUGCAGCCCAGCAAAGACCUUGCAAAAGCAUUGGAUGGGA